UUGCCCUAGUAACGGCGAGUGAAGCGGCAACAGCUCAAAUUUGAAAUCUGGCUUUCGGGCCCGAGUUGUAAUUUGUAGAGGAUACUUUUGAUGCGGUGCCUUCCGAGUUCCCUGGAACGGGACGCCAUAGAGGGUGAGAGCCCCGUCUGGUUGGAUGCCAAAUCUCUGUAAAGUUCCUUCGACGAGUCGAGUAGUUUGGGAAUGCUGCUCUAAAUGGGAGGUAUAUGUCUUCUAAAGCUAAAUAUUGGCCAGAGACCGAUAGCGCACAAGUAGAGUGAUCGAAAGAUGAAAAGCACUUUGAAAAGAGAGUUAAAAAGUACGUGAAAUUGUUGAAAGGGAAGCGUUUAUGACCAGACUUGGACUUGGUUAAUCAUCUGGGGUUCUCCCCAGUGCACUUUUCCAGUUCAGGCCAGCAUCAGUUUUCGCCGGGGGAUAAAGGCUUCGGGAAUGUAGCUCUCUUCGGGGAGUGUUAUAGCCCGUUGUGUAAUACCCUGGUGGAGACUGAGGUUCGCGCUUCUGCAAGGAUGCUGGCGUAAUGGUCAUCAACGACCCGUCUUGAAACACGGACCAAGGAGUCGUCUUCGUAUGCGAGUGUUCGGGUGUCAAACCCCUACGCGUAAUGAAAGUGAACGCAGGUGAGAGCUUCGGCGCAUCAUCGACCGAUCCUGAUGUUCUCGGAUGGAUUUGAGUAAGAGCAUACGGGGCCGGACCCGAAAGAAGGUGAACUAUGCCUGUAUAGGGUGAAGCCAGAGGAAA
rnacentral:rRNA from 1 species